UACGGAGGGGGCGAGUGUUGUUCGGAUUUACUGGGCGUAAAGGGCGCGUAGGCGGCCUCUGCAAGUCGACUGUGAAAUCUCCGGGCUUAACCCGGAACGGUCAGCCGAUACUGCAGGGCUAGAGUGCAGAAGGGGCAACUGGAAUUCUCGGUGUAGCGGUGAAAUGCGUAGAUAUCAGGAGGAACACCGGUGGCGAAGGCGGGUCUCUGGGCCGAUACUGACGCUGAGGAGCGAAAGCAUGGGUAGCGAACAGG
rnacentral:rRNA from 1 species